AGCUUUGCACAGUGGCAGUAUCCUAGCCAAUGAGGUUUAUCCAAGGUGGGAUUACUGCUAGUUGAAAACUGUAUAUUAUAUGU
rnacentral:snRNA from 1 species